CCAGCACAGCACUUCCAGGCUAACUUCAGCCUGCAGAAAAGCCUCAGGAGGGGACAAUCCUCUUCUCUGGCCCCCAGCCUGCCAGCAACAGGAGGAGACAGGUUGUCUCUCCAGCCACCACCUGCAGCCUGCUUGCUGUGUGGGCCACCAACACCAGAUUCAGGAUGUUAGAUCCAGAUACCUGAUCUGCUUACAUUUGCACCUGUGGCUUCCACACUUUAAAGAUUGUCAGCACUGUUCCAGAAGGGAUCAGGCAGUUAGUCCCUCUCCAUCAGUCCCCAGGAGGACCUGCUUGCCUGCAUCGGUCUCCCAACCGCUCAGCCAGAGAAGUAACUAGAAUGUAGUGAAAUGUGGAUCCUUUUUCCAGAUGGGAAAUUUCAAGAAGAAACGUUAGCCCCUGUCAAAAGGGUUGUGGAGCAGGGCCAGCUGACAUAGGAGGCAGUGGAGCUGCCUCUGCCAGAUUUCUACCAACUGAAUGUCGCCGAGGACAGGAAGAAUUCUCCACUGGUCAGCUCUGAUGGCUGCAGGACAUUUUUGUGCUGCUUGUGCAACACAAAGUGGAUUUAGCAGACC